GAAGGUAUAGCUCAGUUGAAGAGCGCAUGCUUAACAUGUACAAGGUCCUGGGUUCAAUCCCCAGUACCUCCA
rnacentral:tRNA from 1 species